rnacentral:rRNA from 1 species
UACGAAGGGGACUAGCGUUGUUCGGAAUUACUGGGCGUAAAGCGCGCGUAGGCGGGCAUCUAAGUCAGGGGUGAAAUGCCAGGGCUCAACCUUGGAAUUGCCUUUGAUACUGGAUGUCUGGAGUUCGGGAGAGGUGAGUGGAAUUCCGAGUGUAGAGGUGAAAUUCGUAGAUAUUCGGAGGAACACCAGAAGCGAAGGCGGCUCACUGGCCCGAUACUGACGCUGAGGCGCGAAAGCUAGGGGAGCAAACGGG